rnacentral:rRNA from 1 species
UACGUAGGGUGCAAGCGUUAAUCGGAAUUACUGGGCGUAAAGCGUGCGCAGGCGGUGAGAUAAGUCAGCUGUGAAAGCCCCGGGCUCAACCUGGGAACUGCGGCCGAAACUGUCUCGCUAGAGUACGUCAGAGGGGGGUGGAAUUCCACGUGUAGCAGUGAAAUGCGUAGAGAUGUGGAGGAACACCAAUGGCGAAGGCAGCCCCCUGGGAUGAUACUGACGCUCAUGCACGAAAGCGUGGGGAGCAAACAGGAUUAGAUACCCUGGUAGUCCACGCCCUAAACGAUGUCGACUAGCCGUUGGAGACCUCGGUCUUUGGUGGCGCAGCUAACGCGUGAAGUCGACCGCCUGGGGAGUACGGUCGCAAGAUUAAA